CAAACAAAUGGACUUAGAAUAAUGAUUGGGCUUUGAGGUAAGGCCCAUAUGAGGAGUUGGGCCUAAUUUGGAAAAUUGGGCCAUAGAGGUGAGCCUUUAUGAUUAUGUGAUAUUGGGCUAUUAGAAUGUUGAAUGUUGGACUGGACUAAAUGGUUGGGCCUUAUGGUGAGACCUUAUAAAGGUUUGGGCCCCAUUUGGAAAAUCGGGCCAUGAGUUGGGCUUUGAGCCAUGGUUGGACUUUUGGGCCCUUGGAUUGGGCUUGAAUCAACUCAAGUUAGGGGUAGAGUAGUCUCUUACCCUAAGCAUGGACUUAUGAUUAUGAGUUCGAACCUAAUUAUUAAUUGGGUGAUGCUUUGUUAUUAGCAGUUCGGGAAUAUGUCGUCCAGCAGCGGGGAUUGUGUCUACGGGACUUCGGCAGUGCGAUGUAUUUCGUUUUCAAAAGAAAGGAGUCGGCUCGAUCGCAGCGCAUCACACUAUGUUUUCCGCACAUGAGAUCUUUGAGAUUAUACUCUGAUAUGAUUUUAGAUAACAUGUUUUGAUUAUUGACGUACUAGUUUUGACAUGAUAUGUUAUUAUGGAUGUUUUCUUA